rfam:Ciona savignyi cont_40173, whole genome shotgun sequence.
GUCGUCGUGGCCGAGUGGUUAAGGCGACAGACUAGAAAGACUAGAAAUCUGUUGGGCUCUGCCCGCACAGGUUCGAAUCCUGUCGGCGACG